rnacentral:rRNA from 1 species
AGAGUUUGAUCCUGGCUCAGAACGAACGCUGGCGGCGUGUUUAAGACAUGCAAGUCGCACGGGACAGAAUGAGUAGUAAUACGAUUUCUGUUCAGUGGCGCACGGGUGAGUAACACGUGAAUGACAUGCCCUUCAGUGGGGAAUAGCCCAGGGAAACUUGGAUUAAUACCCCAUGGUAUCGCGAGAUUAAAGGUGGCCAGUAAUGGCUGUCGCUGAAGGAUUGGUUCGCGCCCUAUCAGCUUGUUGGCGGGGUAACGGCCCACCAAGGCUACGACGGGUACCUGGUCUGAGAGGACGAUCAGGCACACUGGAACUGAGACACGGUCCAGACACCUACGGGUGGCAGCAGUCGAGAAUAAUUCACAAUGGGGGCAACCCUGAUGGUGCAACGCCGCGUGGAGGAUGACGGUCUUCGGAUUGUAAACUCCUGUCAUCCGGGAGUAAGACCUGGGAGUGAAUAGCUCACAGGGUUGAUAGUACCGGAAGAGGAAGGGACGGCUAACUUCGUGCCAGCCGCCGCGGUAAUUC